CCCAUCUCCACUAAUCCUAUUUCAUACUUUCCAGAUUCUCGUCAAUUCCAUCCCCCAAAGAAGCUGAGAGGCCAAGUGGUUUAUGCUCUACAUAAUGCCUAAAUACAAUCUCAGCUAAAGAAAAUUGAUAGAAUGUCUGAACUACAACUAUCAACCGAAGUUUUAAACAAGAGGAGUACUUCUGAUAGCAAAACGUCUUGCCAAUGUUGCAACAGCCAUGAUACUUCCUGUUAUAUUUGUGAUGCUGCCUGACCUGCUGAAUAUUGCCAAUAUUUUUGCUUUUGGUUCAGAUAUCCAAUAGCUGCAAUUUACUUUCAUAUUUUGCAUAUUCAUUUGCUCCUUUUUUAACGCUAAAAUGCUGCUCUAAUAAAAUUAAAGUAAGUUAGUAAGUUUGCAGACUAUGCUGCGAUUGGUAGCAUGGAUAGCAUAGAAGACCGACAAAGGAUACUGCAGACUAGAGAUCAGUUGCAAAUUUGUCCUGGACAAAUAUGAAAAGCUACACUUUGGGAGAGCAGAUGUAAAGGGACAAUAGACUGUUAAUGGCAAAACACUUGAUAGUGUUGAUGUGCAGAGGAAUAUUAGGAUUCAAGUUCAUAACUGCCUGAAGUGGCUACACUGGUUGAUAUGGUGGUAAAAAAGGCACAUGGCUUGCUUUCCUUUAUUAGUUGAAGAAAUCAGUUCAAGAGUCACAAAGUUAUGUUGCAGCUGUAUAAAACUCUAGUUAGGCUGCCUCUGGAGCAUUGUAUUACAGGAAAGGUGUUGAGGCUUGGAGAAGGUGCAGAAGAGGUUUAACAGGAUGCUGCCUUGAUUCGAUGGCAUAUACAUUAUAAAGAAAGGUUGGACAAACUUGUAAUUUUUGUCUGGAGCAGCAGAGGCAGUGUAGAGUUCUAAUAGAGGUUUAUAAGAUUAUGAGAUGCAUCGAGUAGACAGACAGUAUCUCUUCCCCAUGGUUGAAAUGUCUAAUACCAGAAGGCGUACAUUUAAAAUCAGAAGUGGUAAAUUGAGAAGAGAUGCAUGGGGUAAGUUUUUUCACACAGUGAAUAGUGGUUACCUGGAAUGAACUGCCAAGGGUGGAGGUGGAGGCAAAUGUAAUAGAAGCAUUCACGAGUCAGUUGGAUAGGCACUUGAUGUGCAGGAAAUGGAAUGAUCCAGACAUUUUGCAGGCAGAAGGAAUUAGUUUAGUUGCACAUUUGAUUACUAAUUUAGUUUGGCACAAUAUCUUGGGCCAAAGGAUAUGUUCCUUUGCUGUACUGUUCUAAUUAUAAUUCUAUACUACUGUUUUUGAAUCAAGGUAAUCAUAAGUAUCACUGCCCAUAUUUUCCUAUCUGUGUUUAAACUGCUUCUCUAGUUCUUUACUGAUCCUUGUGGUACAUCUACUGAAGGUAUGUGGUUAAUCU